rnacentral:tRNA from 1 species
GCCACGGUAGCUCAGCUGGCAGCAGCAGUCGCCUUGUAAGCGAUAGGUCGUCGGUUCGAUCCCGACUCGUGGCA